UACGGUAGGGCGCAAGCGUUGUCCGGAAUUAUUGGGCGUAAAGAGCUCGUAGGCGGCUUGUCACGUCGGGGGGUGAAAGCCCGAGGCUCAACCUCGGAACUGCCUUCGAUACUGCGGGUCUCGAGUCCGGGAGAGGUGAGUGGAAUUCCUAGUGUAGAGGUGAAAUUCGUAGAUAUUAGGAAGAACACCAGUGGCGAAGGCGGCUCACUGGCCCGGUACUGACGCUCAGGCGCGAAAGCGUGGGGAGCAAACA
rnacentral:rRNA from 1 species